UACCCUAAUGAUUCCACUGUGCUUGAAAAAGUCAGCAACUUCAUCCAAUGUAGCGUUCUCAGUCAGCCCAGUGAUAUAGAUAGUGCUGUUUUCAGAGUCAUCUUGCUCCUCUGGCCGUCCUGCAGAACACACAGGGUGCUUAAUGAAGCCACCUCUGUCUCCAGCGAUGCUGGGGGGGAAUAAGCGAAGAUAUGAAGGCGAUAUCCCUUAAAACAGCCACUUCGGUACCACAAAAGGGGUAAUGGGGGUAUUUGCACAGAGUUCUGACUGACUCUAAACCC